UUUAUGUGUUAACUCUUUAUUAACACUUACAUACUGAUCAUAUUUUAUUCACUCAUUCAACAAAUAGACUCAUUAUCAUUGUUUUUAUAUAUAUAUAUAUAAAAAGUCUUAUUUACAGAGAUAUACUAAUAGUUUUCAUAAAAAAAAAACAGUGGCACACAUGAACUGAGAAAAACCCCACAAACACCAAGAGGCUGUUUCAAGAAGGCCACAGAGAGAAGAGUACAGAAGUGGAGCAGUUCAGUGAUGUAGGUGGAGGCGUCACACCAUCAGGCAAUGAAAAUAUGAACCAUGAUUUGAACCUGAAACAAUGCAGAAGCUCUAACAGUGGAGAGAUGUUUGGAGUUAAAGCUUUGGUCAGACCAGAGAUCAGAGCAUCAGUUCAUCACACUGCUGAUUAAAGAAAGGUUGAAGCUUCUCAGAGAGAUCAGAGAGAGAGAAAUACCUGUCUAUAUAUAAUAACUGUCUAUAACAGUUUGUACAAUCUGAUUGGGUAAGAUUGAUUUCCAAACUAAAACAGCCAAAGAGAAGAUUUUUAUACAAACUGUUUUCCAGUGGGCGGUACUUAAGGAGGAAAAAGUCACAUGAAUCACACCAAUAUAGAAGAGUUCAUUUGCUGAACCUGAAGCUCCAACACAAAAACACUCACUGACUCUAUACUUUAUACCUUUGAGCCUUCUGACUUGCCUCGCAUUGCCCGGCUCAUAGCUUAUAUACUACAUACAGCUUUCAAAACCCUUCCAAACUGCUUGGCUUGCGACGUUUUAUUAGUGUGAAUGCUUGAAAAGCAUUCACAGUAUUGUUAUUCGAAUCUUUAUUAUUAGUGUGAAUGCUUGAAAAGCAUUCACAGUAUUGUUCUUCAAAUCUUUAUUAUUAUUCCAUAUUCCGUACGUUUUUUGGCAUCUAACUCCUUCAAAACCGUUCAACUUAGAAAAACCAUUCAAACAUCGUUAGAUUCCUAUUAUUUUGGACAUGACUGCUUCUAUUUUUCUCAUUUUUAACAUUUAUAUUUUUAAUUUUAUUCAACUUUAUUCAACAAAAAUUUCCCAUGUAUUUCAAUGGGGAAACCCUUCAAAUUCUCAUUCAACUUACUCAUUUUUAAACUCUUACUACUUCCACAUACAUUGACAUAGAGCCACCAUUCAAACUUUAAAACGAAGACAAGACAUUCAACUAUUCAACUUGUAUUUAUCUUUUCAAUAUCUAUUAUACUUUUUCUUCAGUUCCAGUUUAAGUUUCAUGAUGUUUUUUCACCCGUUUCAAAAUUUAUAAUGGGUGUGUAUGGGACGGAAUGUUGGGGCUAGAGUGAGGCAGCUCAACUGCUAGAGUGAGAGGAGCAAAAAAAUUAAUCUUAAAAUCUUUUUUAAAACUGCUGCUGUGUCUGCAGCGUUUGCUCUACAGGUAUGAUUUUACCCUCAAAACGUAGCCAUGGCUGUCCUCUUUCAUCCAAUGUGUUUACUAUUGUCCUAGGUGUUAUGGUUCUUUCAUAAAUGUCACCAAUGCACAGCCUCCUCCCUCCAACUCUUCCAUAGACUCUAAUGUUAAAAUGGCUCAGAAGGUUCGUUUGAAAAUCAGAAGAGCAUGGUGUCUUUCCACUGUCACCACGUCCAUAUAAUAAACUCCACAGGCAUGAAAACUGAGAAUUUGGUAGACUAGACAUGGCUGUCGCUCACGGUGAAAGAAUUUUGUCAAUACGACAUGUACUUUUCAUUUGGGAAGAAUUUGUUUGGGCCUGACUUUUCUGUUCAUUUUAAGCAGCAAAAGUGAGGUGCAUGUCUGUGUACGUGUGUAUGGAGCCAUUGGGUGCGGUCACUAUAGCAACCAGGCUCACACCUGCCUGCUUAACGAGCUCUGCCUGCCACUGUACCAAGAUUCAUCUUAAGCACUUCUCUUUCAACUGCUGCUGUGUCCACAGUGUCACAGCCAUCAUUUUACCCUCAAAUUGUCGCCAUUAUUGUUCUCUUUCCAACACCGUAUCUUUCAAAGCUCAGGCAUUUAAACUUUUUAAACUGUGUGGAUCAAAGUGGAGGGAUCACAUUUGAGUCAUUCAGUGAUUCAAAGAAUAUGACCUUUUAAUAUUCAUUCAGAUGUUUUCUGACUCUAAAUGUUCUUUUCUCAUUUCUUAGGGUUUUCUAAUUUAAAUUUAAAACAUUUUCAGUUUUUUUCCAACUCCUUCUUCUGUGUAACCUUCAGCUUUUAGCAGUUCAGCACUUUUGUUUUCAGGUUAAAUUUGUUUUUUGUUUUUUUUUAUCUCAUUCAAGAUUUUUAACUUAAAUUCAGUAAUUAAUUCAUUUCAGUGCAUACAUUCAGAUUCAAGCAUUCACACUGCAGUUUCUUCAGAAAAUGCACUUUCUAGUUUUCCAUUGUUGUCUGUUUUUGUACAGAACAACAACAACAACAAGAACAAUUACCAGACAAACUAUCAGACCAAUCAACCAUUCACGAUGUCCUCUAUUCCCUCCAUCCUCUGUGUCUCCUCCCGACUGACCUGCAGAUGAGAAACAGGUGUCAGCUAUCAUGUAAUUGAUGAGUGAAGAACAGAACAGAAUCCAUUUCCUAGUUCAGGAGAUGAGGAUAAAGAAAUAAUUUGAUAACAUGUAUAAAGUGAGAAAAUGUUCAUACUAGUGGAUUUUUCCUGCUUUUUCAUUUAAAAACAGGAUCUGACCAAAACUGCAGUAAUCUUGUUUUCACCAUAAAAAAAAAAAAUAUGAAAAUAAAAAUAUACUAAUGAGCAGGUCUGACAGCUCCCUUAGGGUCAAAGGUCAUGUUGAGUUCAUCCAGAUGUUUAAUAUAAUUUGACCUGUUUGGCUGCAGAUCUGUGAGAGCUCAUUAAAACACGUCUGAGACUUUUGGAAGGUCAAAUCCUCGAGGCUGAAACAUCUGAACCUGUGAUACAGUCACACCAACCAAACUAUACUUUGUAAACA
ensembl:lncRNA